CCUACGGGUGGCAGCAGUGGGGAAUAUUGCGCAAUGGGCGAAAGCCUGACGCAGCGACGCCGCGUGAGGGAUGAAGGUCUUCGGAUCGUAAACCUCUGUCAGCAGGGACGAACGGUCACUGUGCUAAUCAGCAGUGAAUUGACGGUACCUGCAAAGGACGCACCGGCUAACUCCGUGCCAGCAGCCGCGGUAAUACUGAGGGUGCGAGCGUUAAUCGGAAUUACUGGGCGUAAAGCGCACGUAGGCGGUAUGUCAAGGCAAGGGUGAAAUGCCCGCGCGCAACGUGGGAACUGCCUUUGAAACGGGCAAACUGGAGUGUGUGAGAGGAUAGUGGAAUUCCAGGGGGAGGAGUGAAAUCCGUAGAUAUCUGGAGGAACAUCAGUGGCGAAGGCGACUAUCUGGCACAUAACUGACGCUGAGGAGCGAAAGCGUGGGUAGCAAACAGGAUUAGAUACCCUAGUAGUC
rnacentral:rRNA from 1 species